UACGGAGGAUCCAAGCGUUAUCCGGAUUUAUUGGGUUUAAAGGGUGCGAAGGCGGACUUAUAAGUCAGUGGUGAAAUCUUACGGCUUAACCGUAAAAUUGCCAUUGAUACUGCAAGUCUUGAGUAUAGUUGAAGUAGCUGGAAUGUAUCAUGUAGCGGUGAAAUGCUUAGAUAUGAUACAGAACACCGAUUGCGAAGGCAGGUUACUAAGCUAUUACUGACGCUCAUGCACGAAAGCGUGGGGAGCAAACAGGAUUAGAGACCCUGGUAGUCCACGCCCUAAACGAUGAUUACUCGAUGUUGGCGAUAUACAGCCAGCGUCUGAGCGAAAGCAUUAAGUAAUCCACCUGGGGAGUACGAUCGCAAGGUUG
rnacentral:rRNA from 1 species